rnacentral:rRNA from 1 species
AUUGAACGCUGGCGGCAGGCUUAACACAUGCAAGUCGAGCGGGGUGAUGGUGCUUGCACUAUCACUUAGCGGCGGACGGGUGAGUAAUGCUUAGGAAUCUGCCUAUUAGUGGGGGACAACAUCUCGAAAGGGAUGCUAAUACCGCAUACGUCCUACGGGAGAAAGCAGGGGAUCACUUGUGACCUUGCGCUAAUAGAUGAGCCUAAGUCGGAUUAGCUAGUUGGUGGGGUAAAGGCCCACCAAGGCGACGAUCUGUAGCGGGUCUGAGAGGAUGAUCCGCCACACUGGGACUGAGACACGGCCCAGACUCCUACGGGAGGCAGCAGUGGGGAAUAUUGGACAAUGGGGGGAACCCUGAUCCAGCCAUGCCGCGUGUGUGAAGAAGGCCUUAUGGUUGUAAAGCUCUUUAAGCGAGGAGGAGGCUCUUUUGGUUAAUACCCAAGAUGAGCGGACGUUACUCGCAGAAUAAGCACCGGCUAACUCUGUGCCAGCCGCCGCAGUAA